UUUUGCUCCCUUAAACCAUUGUUUGAGUGCUCCAAUCCAAGCCCGCCCCGACAAAAGCUUUUCCGGGGAGAGAUUUUCUAUUAGAAACAGGUUCUUCCAAGCACAAGCGCUCUCUGCUCGCUCUUCCCGCUCUAAAUCCAGCUUCCUGAAGCUUCAACUGUUUUCAUUAUCCUCCGGCUUUCUCUCUGUAAGUUUUGGUUGGUUUCUCUCCCUCUCUUUCUCUCUCUGUAUCUAUAUAUAUACACAUAUAUACGGACACAGAGAAUCUGAAAGAGAGAGUUGAAAACAUGGCGGACGUGAUGUUGAUCAAUGAGAUAUAGGUGGCAGCGCCAUGGCUGGGAAUCGAUGUAUCCCACGUGCAUUACGAUUUCGGCAUCAUUAGCACUUCUGACAGAAACAAUACCUAGUUCUCUGUUGUUUCCAUGGAAGUCGAAACAGGAAUUAUUAGCUUUUCGAAUAAUGUGACACCCAAUUUCUGCAAUCCAAGGGAAACUAAGCUUUUCAUCAUCCACAAUGUCUAGAUGUUUAUUUCCAAAUUUCUAAGUCGGCAAAUUGACUUAAUUUCUCCUAUUUCGUUUGUCAUGGAAUUAAUAAGUACAAAUAACUAACUUUUCUCCAAUUAGAAACACUUGAUGAUAUACCUCAUUCGUGAGCUGAGUAAUCCUUGAGAUGCAAAUAUGAGCUGUUUUUCUUCUUAAUCUCAUAUGAGUAUUUAUGUAAGUUGUUGUGCUUAAU